rnacentral:rRNA from 1 species
AGAGCGAACGCUGGCGGCAGGCCUAACACAUGCAAGUCGCACGAGAAAGGGGAGCAAUCCCUGAGUACAGUGGCGCACGGGUGAGUAACACGUGAAUAAUCUACCUCCGAGUGGGGAAUAACUGAGAGAAAUCUUAGCUAAUACCGCAUAACACUUACGAGUCAAAGCAGCAAUGCGCUUGGAGAGGAGUUCGCGGCCGAUUAGUUAGUUGGCGGGUAAUGGCCCACCAAGACGAUGAUCGGUA